CGAGCGGUAACACAGAGAGCUUGCUCUCGGGUGACGAGCGGCGGACGGGUGAGUAAUGUCUGGGAAACUGCCUGAUGGAGGGGGAUAACUACUGGAAACGGUAGCUAAUACCGCAUAACGUCGCAAGACCAAAGUGGGGGACCUUCGGGCCUCAUGCCAUCAGAUGUGCCCAGAUGGGAUUAGCUAGUAGGUGGGGUAAUGGCUCACCUAGGCGACGAUCCCUAGCUGGUCUGAGAGGAUGACCAGCCACACUGGAACUGAGACACGGUCCAGACUCCUACGGGAGGCAGCAGUGGGGAAUAUUGCACAAUGGGCGCAAGCCUGAUGCAGCCAUGCCGCGUGUAUGAAGAAGGCCUUCGGGUUGUAAAGUACUUUCAGCGAGGAGGAAGGCGUUAAGGUUAAUAACCUUGGCGAUUGACGUUACUCGCAGAAGAAGCACCGGCUAACUCCGUGCCAGCAGCCGCGGUAAUACGGAGGGUGCAAGCGUUAAUCGGAAUUACUGGGCGUAAAGCGCACGCAGGCGGUCUGUCAAGUCGGAUGUGAAAUCCCCGGGCUCAACCUGGGAACUGCAUUCGAAACUGGCAGGCUAGAGUCUUGUAGAGGGGGGUAGAAUUCCAGGUGUAGCGGUGAAAUGCGUAGAGAUCUGGAGGAAUACCGGUGGCGAAGGCGGCCCCCUGGGCAAAGACUGACGCUCAGGUGCGAAAGCGUGGGGAGCA
rnacentral:rRNA from 1 species